rnacentral:rRNA from 1 species
UACGUAGGGUGCAAGCGUUAUCCGGAAUUAUUGGGCGUAAAGAGCUCGUAGGCGGUUUGUCGCGUCUGCUGUGAAAACCCGAGGCUCAACCUCGGGCCUGCAGUGGGUACGGGCAGACUAGAGUGCGGUAGGGGAGAUUGGAAUUCCUGGUGUAGCGGUGGAAUGCGCAGAUAUCAAGAGGAAUACCUGAGGUGAAGACGGGUUGCUAGGCCGACACUGACGCUGAAGCGCGAAAGCCAGGGGAGCAAACGGG